CGGACGGGUGAGUAAUGUAUGGGGAUCUGCCUGAUGGCGGGGGAUAACUACUGGAAACGGUAGCUAAUACCGCAUAAUGUCUGCGGACCAAAGCGGGGGACCUCCGGGCCUCGCGCCAUCAGGUGAACCCAUAUGGGAUUAGCUAGUAGGUAAGGUAACGGCUUACCUAGGCGACGAUCCCUAGCUGGUCUGAGAGGAUGACCAGCCACACUGGAACUGAGACACGGUCCAG
rnacentral:rRNA from 1 species